GACGAACGCUGGCGGCGUGCUUAACACAUGCAAGUCGAACGGAAAGGCCCUGCUUUUGUGGGGUGCUCGAGUGGCGAACGGGUGAGUAACACGUGAGUAACCUGCCCUUGACUUUGGGAUAACUUCAGGAAACUGGGGCUAAUACCGGAUAGGAGCUCCUGCUGCAUGGUGGGGGUUGGAAAGUUUCGGCGGUUGGGGAUGGACUCGCGGCUUAUCAGCUUGUUGGUGGGGUAGUGGCUUACCAAGGCUUUGACGGGUAGCCGGCCUGAGAGGGUGACCGGUCACAUUGGGACUGAGAUACGGCCCAGACUCCUACGGGAGGCAGCAGUGGGGAAUAUUGCACAAUGGGCGGAAGCCUGAUGCAGCAACGCCGCGUGCGGGAUGACGGCCUUCGGGUUGUAAACUGCUUUCGCCUGUGACGAAGCGUGAGUGACGGUAAUGGGUAAAGAAGCACCGGCUAACUACGUG
rnacentral:rRNA from 1 species